GGACGCAAGUCUUAAAAGGAAAUCACGGUGAUAAAUCCGUGGCUAUGCCGUAACUGUUAAAGCCAGAAAACUUACCUUUGUUUUUACCUUUUUUUAUUGACUUUCGAGCGAAAAGUCUAAGGUCUAUGUUUAAAAG
rnacentral:ncRNA from 25 species